GACGAACGCUGGCGGCGUGCUUAACACAUGCAAGUCGAACGGAAAGGCCCUGCUUUUGUGGGGUGCUCGAGUGGCGAACGGGUGAGUAACACGUGAGUAACCUGCCCUUGACUUUGGGAUAACUUCAGGAAACUGGGGCUAAUACCGGAUAGGAGCUCCUGCUGCUUGGUGGGGGUUGGAAAGUUUCGGCGGUUGGGGAUGGACUCGCGGCUUAUCAGCUUGUUGGUGGGGUAGUGGCUUACCAAGGCUUUGACGGGUAGCCGGCCUGAGAGGGUGACCGGCCACAUUGGAACUGGAAUACGGCCCAGACUCGUACGGUAGGCAGCAGUGGGGAAUAUUGCACAAUGGGCGGAAGCCUAAUGCAGCAACGCCGCGUGCGGGAUGACAGCCUUCGGGUUGUAAACCACUUUCGCCUGUGACGAAGCGUGAAUGACGGUAAUGGGUAAAGAAGCACCGGCUAACUACGUG
rnacentral:rRNA from 1 species